CCUGCAUCCCUUACUCAUGUGAGCAGUCGUCUCUGUUUCAAAGGGACUACUCGGUGAGUAAGGAUGGCAGG
rnacentral:pre_miRNA from 1 species